rnacentral:lncRNA from 1 species
GUACAUGCUCAGUCAUGUAACCCCAUGGACCGCAGCCCACCAGGCUUCUUUGUCCAUGGACUUUUCCAGACAAGAAUAUUGGAGUGGGUUACCAUUUCCUUCUCCAGGGCUGAAUAGAGUUUUUAAUGCUAGUACUUGACAGUGAUGUCUAUGGGGAGGUCAGAAAGCAGAGAGAGUAAAAAUUCUCCCCCAGUGUAGUUUUGCAAAUGGGCAUUCGACACAGGCUGUUCCAGCUCAACGGUGAAGAGCAGCACAAAUUCUUUCCUUUCUCCACAGUAAAAGGAAUGAAAUGACUUCUUUCUACAGCAAUGCUGAGCUAUGAAUAACUGAACUGGAAAAGAUAUUAGCUGUCUGUCUAGAGUAGCUGCAUAAAACAAAAUGUAUCAUUCCAGCAUCCGCCCCGUGAAAAAAAUUACAAACGCAGUAACAAAUACACAACAAAAAGUAUCAUCAUUUAGGUUGUCCUUAUUAUUGGUGCAACCCAAAUGGGGUGAUCAGUCUAGUUCUUUGAAAUCAACUAUUUUAGUAUCCACUUAUCCUAAAGACACAACUCUUUUAACAACUCAGCCUCAUAUCACUUUAACCUCUGUGGAAUAUUCUUUUCCUGUUUCUACAUGCAUUGAAGCCAUAUUGAAAAUCUGAUAUGUGGAAUGCCCUGGGGAGAAAAGUCACCUUAACAAGACAGAGAAAGCUAGUGCUAUUGAUACAAAUACUGAACUCUGUGUUCCUGACAUCUGCAAAUUUGGGAAACUAAAAAUAAGAUGGUUCUGGAAGUUGGUGAUGGAAUACUGACCCUUUAUCUUUUANNNNNNNNNNNNNNNNCCUAAUCAGAGUUGAGAUGGAAAAUAAUAGAACAGAAACAUUUCUAUCCAUUGUGGGUACAUUAUUAGACAUCUUAGUUUCUUUCUAAAGCCCCUGUGAAUCACAAAUUAAACCUAUCUAAGAUGUUGCUUUACAUGACUUGGCAACAUUAAUUAUUUGAUGAAGUCUAAUCAUUUCUCAUCCUCUAUCAUGGAUUGGAUUGUGUUCCCUACCCUCAACCUCAGAAAAAAAAAAAAAAAAAACAUCAAAGACCUAACCCCUA